rnacentral:rRNA from 1 species
UACGGAGGGUGCGAGCGUUGUUCGGAAUUAUUGGGCGUAAAGCGCGCGCAGGCGGCUCUCUAAGUCCAUGGGUAAAAGGCCGGGGCUCAACCCCGUGUACGCCCAGGAUACUGGGGAGCUGGAGACACGUAGAGGCAAGCGGAAUUCCGGGUGUAGCGGUGGAAUGCGUAGAGAUCCGGAAGAACACCGGAGGCGAAGGCGGCUUGCUGGGCGUGAUCUGACGCUGAGGCG